AUACAAAUCACCUAGGGAUCUCGUUAAAAUGCAUAUUCUGAUUCAGUAGGUCUGGGGUAAGGCUUGAGAUCCUGCAGUUCCAACAAGCUCCCAGGUGAUGCUGAU
rnacentral:pre_miRNA from 1 species